rnacentral:rRNA from 1 species
UACGUAGGUCCCGAGCGUUGUCCGGAUUUAUUGGGCGUAAAGCGAGCGCAGGUGGUUUAAUAAGUCUGAUGUAAAAGGCAGUGGCUCAACCAUUGUGUGCAUUGGAAACUGUUAGACUUGAGUGCAGUAGAGGAGAGUGGAAUUCCAUGUGUAGCGGUGAAAUGCGUAGAUAUAUGGAGGAACACCGGUGGCGAAAGCGACUCUCUGGUCUGUAACUGACGCUGAGGAGCGAAAGCGUGGGGAGCGAACAGG